GACGAACGCUGGCGGCGUGCCUAAUACAUGCAAGUAGAACGCUGAAGGAGGAGCUUGCUCUUCUGGAUGAGUUGCGAACGGGUGAGUAACGCGUAGGUAACCUGCCUGGUAGUGGGGGAUAACUAUUGGAAACGAUAGCUAAUACCGCAUAAUAACAGUUGUUGCAUGACAACUGUUUGAAAGGUGCAAUUGCAUCACUACCAGAUGGACCUGCGUUGUAUUAGCUAGUUGGUGGGGUAACGGCUCACCAAGGCGACGAUACAUAGCCGACCUGAGAGGGGGAGCGGUCGCAAUGGGACUGUGGCCAGGGCCAGAAUCCCCACGGGGGCCGCGGGGGGGGAGCUUGGGCGAUGGUCGGAAGUCUUACCGUUGUAAGCCGGGUGAUUGGAGUAAGUUUUUGGAUCGUCAAACGUUGGUGAUUGGGAAGCACGAAUGGGAGAGCUAACUGUGCACCCUGUGACGGUAUCUUAGCAGAAAGGAACGCCUAACUACGUG
rnacentral:rRNA from 1 species